AUUGAACGCUGGCGGCAGGCCUAACACAUGCAAGUCGAGCGAGCGGCGGACGGGUGAGUAAUGCCUGGGAAUUGCCCAGUCGAGGGGGAUAACAGUUGGAAACGACUGCUAAUUCCGCAUACGAUUGGAUUGCCCAGGUGGGAUUAGCUAGUGGGUGUGGUAAUGGCUCACCAAGGCGAGGCUCCCUAGCUGGUCUGAGAGGAGGAUAAGGCACACUGGAACUGAGACACGGUCCAGACUCCUACGGUAGGCAGCAGUGGGGAAUGUUGCACAAUGGGGGGAACCCUGAUGCAGCCAUGCCGCGUGUGUGAAGAAGGCCUUGGGGUUGUAAUGCACUUGCUGCGAGAAGGCGGUACUCGAAGAAUAAGGACCGGCUAACUCCGUGCCAGCCGCCGCGGUAAUAC
rnacentral:rRNA from 1 species